AAAGUCGUAACAAGGUUUCCGUAGGUGAACCUGCGGAAGGAUCAUUAAAACAAUAAUGAAUGUCGGGGGGAGGGCGCUUCGGUGCUCUUACCCGUGUAUUCAACCAAACCCGCUCGUGUAUUUGGAUCAACCAAAAAAAUCAAAUCAGAAUUUUUAACGAUAAUAAUUAAACAAACUUUCAACAACGGAUCUCUUGGCUCUC
rnacentral:misc_RNA from 1 species